rnacentral:lncRNA from 10 species
AGUACCAUUAGCCGCGGGAAUAUCAGUAUGGUGACUCCUUACCCUGGGGAAGUGUACUUAGGCCACGGCUAGGUGAAGCCCAGGGAUAUUUCUGUUCGCCCAUGCAUCCGAGAAAGGAGUGUUAGACCUGACCCUGUUGUUUCUCCCAGCAGUGAGAACGUGGCCAUGGACAAGAAUUCCAAGUAGUGGCACUUCUGUAGACGACGCGGCCCUUUUGGGGUUACUACAGCCCAGGAAACUCACAUGCGACACGGCGCCAGCUGAAGUCCAUCUAGACCCCCGCAGACCCAAGGUCACAAGUUGAGAACCCCCUGCCGUGGACAUUCUUCUGCACCUAGUGGUGAAGCAGGUGGAGCUGCACCUUGCUCCGCCCAUUUGGAGACUGGUUCUGCACAUAUGAGUGUGCCCUGCAGCGAUCCUGCAAUCCUUCGUGACUAACAAGGACUUUCUGUGAAAACAGAUUUAUCUUUUCUUCUCUACCUUUAAGGUUUCUUGCUGUUGAGAAUAGUUAAGGGACGAGGAAUUCUUAUUGCCCCCAUUUUACAGGCAAAGAAACUAAUGCUGACCCCAACCUUACCGACCACUUGGAGGUCCCUAAAAACACAUGACCUUUGUGUUUCUCGGCUGUUAGUGGAAUCCUUUCUGUCUGCUCAUGAACUCAUCUUCAAACGCAUUCCAGGCCUUCAGAACUCUUCCGUGAGCGCAAGUCACUGAUUGCACUAGAAAGAACCACAUGGGGUUUAUUCUUCCCUCUUUCAAGAAACCUAAUGAAAUUGGGCUGAGAUUCCAAGGAACUCCUGGAAAAGAGUUAUCAGUGCCAGAAUGAA